GGACAAGUCCGUAGUCCUAACAAAAGCGGAGCGACUGGUGAUGGAGAACACCUAAAAAGCCUA
rfam:Bacteriophage EJ-1 proviral DNA, complete genome